AACGAACGCUGGCGGCAGGCUUAACACAUGCGAGUCGAACGGGUGCAGCAAUGCAUCAGUGGCAGACGGGUGAGUAACACGUGGGAACCUUCCUAGGGGUACGGAACAACUCAGGGAAACUUGAGCUAAUACCGUAUACGUCCGUGAGGAGAAAGAUUUAUCGCCCUUAGACGGGCCCGCGUCGGAUUAGCUAGUGGGUGGGGUAACGGCCUACCAAGGCGACGAUCCGUAGCUGAUCUUAGAGGAUGAUCAGCCACACUGGGACUGAGACACGGCCCAGACUCCUACGGGAGGCAGCAGUGGGGAAUCUUGGACAAUGGGCGCAAGCCUGAUCCAGCCAUGCCGCGUGAGUGAAGAAGGUCUUCGGAUUGUAAAGCUCUUUUGCCAGGGACGAUAAUGACGGUACCUGGAGAAUAAGCCCCGGCAAACUUCGUGCCAGCCGCCACAGUAAAAC
rnacentral:rRNA from 1 species